AAUCAACGCUGGCGGCGUGCCUAACACAUGCAAGUCGAACGCGAGAGGGGCUUCGGCCCCGAUUGAGUGGUCGAACGGGUGAGUAACACGUGGGUGACCUACCUUCGAGUGGGGGAUAACGUCCCGAAAGGGACGCUAAUACCGCAUAACAUUCCGCUUUUGAACAAGUGGAAAUCAAAGCUGGGGAUCGUAAGACCUAGCGCUUGAAGAUGAGCCCGCGUCCGAUUAGCUAGUUGGCGGGGUAANAGCCCACCAAGGCUCCGAUCGGUAGCCGGCCUGAGGGGCGGACGGCCACACUGGAACUGAGACACGGUCCAGACUCCUACGGGAGGCAGCAGUGGGGAAUUUUUCGCAAUGGGCGAAAGCCUGACGCAGCGACGCCGCGUGAGGGAUGACGGCC
rnacentral:rRNA from 1 species